rnacentral:rRNA from 1 species
CAGUAGCCGCGGUAAUACCGAGGGUGCAAGCGUUAAUCGGAAUUACUGGGCGUAAAGCGCGCGUAGGUGGUUUGUUAAGUUGGAUGUGAAAUCCCCGGGCUCAACCUGGGAACUGCAUCCAAAACUGGCAAGCUAGAGUAUGGUAGAGGGUGGUGGAAUUUCCUGUGUAGCGGUGAAAUGCGUAGAUAUAGGAAGGAACACCAGUGGCGAAGGCGACCACCUGGACUGAUAAUGACACUGAGGUGCGAAAGCGUGGGGAGCAAACAGGAUUAGAUACCCGUGUAGUCCCUGUCUCUUAUAA